UGCUGGUCUCACCGCUAGGGCCUGGGC
rnacentral:piRNA from 1 species